UACGUAGGGUGCAAGCGUUGUCCGGAAUUAUUGGGCGUAAAGAGCUCGUAGGCGGUCUGUCGCGUCUGCUGUGAAAACUCAGGGCUUAACCCUGAGCUUGCAGUGGGUACGGGCAGACUAGAGUGCGGUAGGGGAGACUGGAAUUCCUGGUGUAGCGGUGAAAUGCGCAGAUAUCAGGAGGAACACCGGUGGCGAAGGCGGUUCUCUGGGACGGUACUGACGCUGAGACGCGAAAGCGUGGGGAGCGAACAGG
rnacentral:rRNA from 1 species